rnacentral:pre_miRNA from 8 species
AGAGGGUGGUGACACAGGCCCGCCACUCUGCGUGUUCACGGCGGACCUUGAUUUAAUAUCCAUACAAUUAAGGCACGCGGUGAAUGCCAAGAGAGGGGUCUUAAAACGACAAACCCGUGU